GAAAGUGAGACUCGUCAGACCAUUCUUUUUUCCCAGCUGCACUACUUCAUGGUUGCGUCGCUUGAAAUAGGUUGCUCCGGGCCAGCAAAGAUAUCUGGGUGAGCUUUGACGAAAAUUCGGUGACGUUGAAAGUGAUAGCGAAAGCGCACGGCCGUUGCUGAUGCCCAAGCACGCUGAAGAAGCUACAUUUAGCGCUGCCCGGAUUGAACUCGGUUUGUCUAGCUCUUGGCCCAGUACUAGGCCUGGUUCUCUUGAGCGCGAGUGCACACGCGACUGCAUUCCAGUGCUUUGGUUUUCUGUGGUGUUGGGUGGUAUUAGCAGAACUAUCUAAAACGUAGAGAACGAAUAGGCACGAAAAGGAGACGGACAACAAAAGCUGCUGUGUGUCCCCAUCGUUAUGUCUAGUCGUUCCAGGGCUCUAGGUUUUCCGAGAAUCCAUUAACAACCAGCCCAUCUCUCCAUCCUGAUGGACUCUUGCAUCGGCGGAUGCCAGACACUGUUAUCUUGAGGGGACAUGGUCAUUGGUGCUUUCAGCAAUACACAUCUUGAAUGCUGCUGCUUGAUGAAACCGCGAAGAACGAGGCGUGAAAUGGCAUGCGAUAUGUCGACAAGUUGGUGCGAUGCAGCACGAAAGCAACUCCGACUCAGUAAAAGGAACAGCGCCCUCGCAGCUACCAGGCGUCUCACAAUGCUGGCAUGGUGAAGAGGGUUGCCGGUGACCUUGCAGGCGUCGUAACUCGAUGGUGCACAACAUGAGGCCGAUCAGAAACCGUCCGCCCGAACACACUCCUCGUCUUUUAAGGCCCUCCACCAUUGCUUACCUCCUGACUUUCUCAUGCUUGUG